CUGAUAAGUAGCGUCACAAUUUAUUUUCAUCAUAUCUCAUGUAUAUCACGCUGGUCUAUCUCCUCUAAAAGUCCUGGUCGUCUCCCUCGUAUAUCUCCAUUAAAAUUCUUCAAUCAUCAAUCUCUCUAAUCUCCUCUUCAGUCGAGCUUCCCGGUGUUCAUGUCUUUUCACAUUUCACAUAGGGAAAAUGGAGUCGGAGCUAGUUGUACUCAAAUGAAGGUUAUUCGUGAUCGUGUUGCUGAUGAUUUAAGGAAAGUUAGAAGAAACUUUUAAUUAUUGUAAACUGCAGUUAAACAUAAUCGAUUUGACGUUAUUUAUCUAUUUAUUUACUAAGAGGAACAAUGUAGUCUUUUACUUUAUGUGUAUGAAGUCAUUACUUCCAUACAUUACUUUACUAUAUAGCAUGGUUACCAAAAAAUAAUCAUGAUAAUGGGUUGAAUUUAUUUAAUUUUCUAACUAAAUAUAUUAUUUUUUAUUUUCUUUUGUAACUUCAACGACUACUUUUACCAAACACUCAUACUAUCAACCGCUACCUUGACAGCUAACCUCUACCCUCUACUAGUUGACAGCUACCCGCUACUCUGACCGCUACCCGCUACUCAACCGCUAAAAGCUAUCCGCUACUGCUAGUUUUGCCAAACAGGACCAAUAUUAUCACCUUAAAAGCUUAAAAUCUCAAAGUUUUAUGUUACCACCUAAAACAAAAAAAUUCAAAAAUUCAUGUCACCACCCGGUAACAGGAAAGUUAAUAGCAUCUCCACUUCAACGCCUAUUAUAUCAGUUGCCUUAUAAGUUUCCUCAACGUUCUUCAAAAAACCAACUACAAGUCAUUAAAUCUUCCCAUAGAUCACCAAUUUAUAUGAAAAACUUGAAAUUGAUUGGGGCUUUCAUUAAUUUCUGAUUUUUGAUCAAUUUGUUGGGUGAAAGCAACCGAGUCAAGUAGGUGUGCAAUGGAGAGGCCAUGUGGGAAGAAAAAGAAAAAGAAGAAACAGAUUGGGGAGAAAUCGAUCAACGGAUUUGACCCACAAGCAAAAAAAAUUAAAGUAUUCAUCGAAAUGGCAUACAAAUUGAAGGAUGAGGGCUACAACUUAUUUCAAGAGAGGGAUUAUGAAGGAGUCUUGUUGAAGAGAGGGAGAGAAAAGGAAAGAUUAUGCAAUUGGGAUAGAAAUUAAAAUAUGUGGUGAAAAAUUGAAGAGGAAUAUAGAAGGAAGGUGAAGAUUUGAUUGAGAAAGAAGAAUAAAGAAGGAAAUCGCAUAAACCGACUGAGAAAAUAAAUUGGCGGGAAGUUUAAUUAACGGGUCCCAGUAAAGCGCCAUUAACUGUUAACAGGUGGUGAAAUGAACUUUAAUUUUUUUUAGGUGGUAAUAUAAAAUGUUUGAGACUUUAGGUGGUAAAAGACAAAUUUGGAUUUUUUUAGGUGGUAAAAUACAAAAUUUUCUUUUUUCUAUUGUAAGGUACCAGAAUAUUAUGUACUACUUGUACUUCCUCCUUUUUACUAUUCAUCCCAAUUUUUGCAAUGCAAGUUGAUGUAUUGUAAAUUA